AAACGUUUCAACUUCAACCCGUAACAGUUGGAUUCACAACGGAUAUGGGGUAGGAAGGUAUUUGGAACGUUCUUCAACGAGUAGAUCUCUUGGUGAGCCUUGAUGUGGGGACUUGGGCCGGAGGGGAUUCAGAGUGGCCACGGUGAUUGUCUUUGGACUUUUAAAUAAGUGUUGGUUUUCAUUUAAUUUCCUUUAAUUAUUAUUUAUUUUUGGGUUGUAAUAAGGCCAAUUUUAACUUUCCUUUUAUUUCUUUUCGGAAUUAUUUUAAUUUUAAUAACUUUAAAAAUUGGUUAAUAA